rnacentral:rRNA from 1 species
GACGAACGCUGGCGGCGUGCUUAACACAUGCAAGUCGAACGUGAUUUUUGUGGAAAUUCUUUCGGGAAUGGACAUGAAAUGAAAGUGGCGAACGGGUGAGUAACACGUGAGCAACCUACCUUACACAGGGGGAUAGCCGUUGGAAACGACGAUUAAUACCGCAUGAAACCACAGAAUCGCAUGAUAUAGGGGUCAAAGAUUUAUCGGUGUAAGAAGGGCUCGCGUCUGAUUAGCUAGUUGGAAGGGUAAAGGCCUACCAAGGCGACGAUCAGUAGCCGGUCUGAGAGGAUGAACGGCCACAUUUGAACUGAGACACGGUCCAAACUCCUACGGGAGGCAGCAGUGGGGAAUAUUGCACAAUGGGGGGAACCCUGAUGCAGCGACGCCGCGUGAGCGAAGAAGGUUCUCGAAUCGUAAAGCUCUGUCCUAUGAGAAGAUAAUGACGGUAUCAUAGGAGGAAGCCCCGGCUAAAUACGUG